UUAGUUCCUUCUGCUUAUGGGGCUGGUUGAGGCCCCUAAUAUUCCAUGUAGCUAUGAUCAUAGAAAAAGAGGGGUAACUCUGUGAGAGGGUCCUGGAUCAAUUUGUUGGACCCUACUACCCACCACAGUCAUAGUAGCCUUGCCCUUAUAACAAUUGUCAGCCAUUUGUUUGUGACUGCAUUAUCUGCAGUGACAAGCACCUCUUGACACUCAGACUCAUUCAGUGCAAUCUGCUGAGGAUUAGCUAGGCUUUCAUCCACCUUACUAGAUUCCUGCACUAACUGAUUUCCCAGCAUUUUAUCUGUUAUAGCAUCC
rnacentral:lncRNA from 1 species